UGGGGAAUUUUGGACAAUGGGCGCAAGCCUGAUCCAGCCAUGCCGCGUGCGGGAAGAAGGCCUUCGGGUUGUAAACCGCUUUUGUCAGGGAAGAAAUCUUCUGAGUUAAUACCUCGGGAGGAUGACGGUACCUGAAGAAUAAGCACCGGCUAACUACGUGCCAGCAGCCGCGGUAAUACGUAGGGUGCAAGCGUUAAUCGGAAUUACUGGGCGUAAAGCGUGCGCAGGCGGUUUUGUAAGACAGAGGUGAAAUCCCCGGGCUCAACCUGGGAACUGCCUUUGUGACUGCAAGGCUUGAGUGCGGCAGAGGGGGAUGGAAUUCCGCGUGUAGCAGUGAAAUGCGUAGAUAUGCGGAGGAACACCGAUGGCGAAGGCAAUCCCCUGGGCCUGCACUGACGCUCAUGCACGAAAGCGUGGGGAGCAAAACAGGAUUAGAUACCCUGGUAGUCCACGCCCUAAACGAUGUCAACUGGUUGUUGGGAAGGUUCCUUCUCAGUAACGUAGCUAACGCGUGAAGUUGACCGCCUGGGGAGUACGGCCGCAAGGUUGAAAACUC
rnacentral:rRNA from 1 species